rnacentral:tRNA from 1 species
CGGCCCCGCCCCGUCGCCAUGUUGUUCCCUCGGUGCUGGACGGGAGCAGCUGUAGUCGGACCCGGGCAGUGCUGCGGACGUCAGCUGCCCGCUGGGUCCUCGACCCUCUCUCUUUCCUCACUGCACCCGGACGGGCCGGCCCGGAGCUCCCGGGCUUCCUCCGUGUGGCUGCGAGCCACUUCUUCCAUCUAGACUGUGGUACUCUGGAGGCCUGCAGAUAAGUUCCUUUGGUUCUAGAGACGAACUUUUAGUCUACCCUCAUUUCUUACCAUUUCUUGGGCGGCCACUCCAGCACUGGGAGUUCUGUGCAUGUAAAUCCUGUAAGUACAUCAUUUCAUUUACUUCGCACAGCAUUUCUGUGGUAUUAGCUCCAUUUUAAAGAUGAAGAAUUUGCUGGGGCGUAGGAGGGGUAGGCCUGUUCCGAUGGUCACGGGUGGUGAGGGGGCAGAGCCGGGAUUCAGAGCAGGGCUGUGUGAGUUUAGAGUGGUAGUUCUCAGUGGGGGGUGGAGGGUAUUGGACAGUGUCUGCAGGCAUUUUUGAUUCACACCUGAGAGGGUGUGCUGCAGGCACCUAUUGGGUAGAGAACAGGGAUGCUGCUCAACAGCCUACAAUACACGGGACUGCUCCCCACGGCAAACAGUUGUCUGGCCCAGAGUGUCGCUCGCACCCAGGUUGAGAAGCCCUGCUUGACCUCAGUCUGUGUAACUCCAGAGCUCACAGUCAGCGCUUCUCUAGUUCUUCAAAUGUGAUGUUGGUUCUAUUUAGGGUACCGCCUCCUCAUUUUCAGAAAGAGCAGGGGGUGGGGAGGAUUUGAGAACUUGAAGAGAUUUCCCUUGAUUAAGGGACAUAUUCAUUCAUUUGAAAGAUUGACCAAAAAAUUUCUGAUAACAGAAUCUCCCCCCACUCUUUUUUAAAAUAUUUAUUUAUUUGACUGUGCCGGGUCUUAGUUGAGGCACUUGGGAUCUAGUUCCCUGACCAGGAAUCGAACCUGGGCCCUCUGCAUUGGGAGUGUGGAGUCUUAGCCACUGGACCACCAGGGAAAUCCCUCCCCCCCUUUUUUUUUCCGAAGGCAAAAGUGUCAGAACUUGAGAGUCACUCAGAGCCCUUGAAGUAGACAUAGGGAAUUUGGUUUCUGUAUUAUUCCACUUGUCAACAAACAUUUUCUGAGUAGCCCGUCAGUUGCUGAUACAAAGGUGCUGGUGAUAUGAAGGGCAGUGGGGAGUCCCCACCUCCCUGAAG